UAGACGAAAGGGCAAAAUCAUUGAAAAAUGAUGACGCAAAACUAUAGGAGCUAAGGGAAUGGAAACUAUGCUAGCCAGUUGCCGAU
rnacentral:ncRNA from 1 species